rnacentral:tRNA from 1 species
GGCGGCGUAGCCAAGUGGUAAGGCAGAGGACUGCAAAUCCUUGAGCACCGGUUCGAAUCCGGUCGCCGCCUCCA